rnacentral:rRNA from 1 species
CCUACGGCAGGCAGCAGUGGGGAAUUUUGGACAAUGGGCGCAAGCCUGAUCCAGCCAUUCCGCGUGAGUGAAGAAGGCCUUCGGGUUGUAAAGCUCUUUCGCAAGAGAAGAAAACUUACUUUCCAAUAAAGAGUGAGGUUGACGGUAUCUUGAUAAGAAGCACCGGCUAACUACGUGCCAGCAGCCGCGGUAAUACGUAGGGUGCGAGCGUUAAUCGGAAUUACUGGGCGUAAAGCGUGCGCAGGCUGUUUUGUAAGUCAGAUGUGAAAUCCCCGAGCUCAACUUGGGAACUGCGUUUGAAACUACAAGACUAGAAUAUGUCAGAGGGGGGUAGAAUUCCACGUGUAGCAGUGAAAUGCGUAGAGAUGUGGAGGAAUACCAAUGGCGAAGGCAGCCCCCGUGGGAUAAUAUUGACGCUCAUGCACGAAAGCGUGGGGAGCAAACAGGAUUAGAUACCCUGGUAGUCCACGCACAACGAUAGUCUACUAGUUAGUUGGUGGUAGUAAAGUACUAUAGAGUAACGAC